rnacentral:rRNA from 1 species
GAGUAAUGUCUGGGAAACUGCCUGAUGGAGGGGGAUAACUACUGGAAACGGUGGCUAAUACCGCAUAACGUCGCAAGACCAAAGAGGGGGACCUUCGGGCCUCUUGCCAUCAGAUGUGCCCAGAUGGGAUUAGCUUGUUGGUGAGGUAACGGCUCACCAAGGCGACGAUCCCUAGCUGGUCUGAGAGGAUGACCAGCCACACUGGAACUGAGACACGGUCCAGACUCCUACGGGAGGCAGCAGUGGGGAAUAUUGCACAAUGGGCGCAAGCCUGAUGCAGCCAUGCCGCGUGUAUGAAGAAGGCCUUCGGGUUGUAAAGUACUUUCAGCGGGGAGGAAGGUGUUGUGGUUAAUAACCGCAGCAAUUGACGUUACCCGCAGAAGAAGCACCGGCUAACUCCGUGCCAGCAGCCGCGGUAAUACGGAGGGUGCAAGCGUUAAUCGGAAUUACUGGGCGUAAAGCGCACGCAGGCGGUCUGUCAAGUCGGAUGUGAAAUCCCCGGGCUCAACCUGGGAACUGCAUUCGAAACUGGCAGGCUUGAGUCUUGUAGAGGGGGGUAGAAUUCCAGGUGUAGCGGUGAAAUGCGUAGAGAUCUGGAGGAAUACCGGUGGCGAAGGCGGCCCCCUGGACAAAGACUGACGCUCAGGUGCGAAAGCGUGGGGAGCAAACAGGAUUAGAUACCCUGGUAGUCCACGCCGUAAACGAUGUCUACUUGGAGGUUGUGCCCUUGAGGCGUGGCUUCCGGAGCUAACGCGUUAAGUAGACCGCCUGGGGAGUACGGCCGCAAGGUUAAAACUCAAAUGAAUUGACGGGGGCCCGCACAAGCGGUGGAGCAUGUGGUUUAAUUCGAUGCAACGCGAAGAACCUUACCUGGUCUUGACAUCCACGGAAGAAUUCAGAGAUGGAUUUGUGCCUUCGGGAACCGUGAGACAGGUGCUGCAUGGCUGUCGUCAGCUCGUGUUGUGAAAUGUUGGGUUAAGUCCCGCAACGAGCGCAACCCUUAUCCUUUGUUGCCAGCGGUCCGGCCGGGAACUCAAAGGAGACUGCCAGUGAUAAACUGGAGGAAGGUGGGGAUGACGUCAAGUCAUCAUGGCCCUU